GUCCUGCUGGAAGAAGUGUUUGGUUUAAAUGAAUCAUGACCCAGUAAAAGUUGUGCUUUUUGCAGGUGCAGCAAAUUCAUAUCAAAAGCACUGCAUGGUUGUUGAUAAUAAAGGCCAUUCAGUGCAUAGUGUCAUAUCCUAGCAAAAAGUCCCCAAAUAGUGCAUUAUUUAUGCUCUACAAUCAAUAUAGUGUUUAUACUAGAGACAAAGUUUCAGUGUAUCCUGGUGCUCAUCCUUGAAAUGUUAAUGUCCUUAUGACAUGCUUCUAUUUGAAAAGAUCCUACGAAGUUUUUCAAACAGCUUGUGAGUCAAGCAAUCUAUGCUUUGCAUUUUCACAAUACUUAGUAAUUUAAAGCAGAAAUAUCAUUGUUAGAAUCAGGGAGAAUAUGAAUUGUGAAGAUGAGUAGAUUAUUAAGGCAAAAGAAAAGGGUUAUAUUAAUAAGAAUAUAGAGGAUGAAAUGAAUAGUUUCUUGGUACGAAUUAAACUAUGCAGUAUGUUAACCACUCUUUUUCAUGUUAUGUAUGUUUAUUGUAUGUGCUUGAAUCCUUAAUAAAUCUCUGGAAGGGACUCUAGCUGAGGACUUACAUGAUGAAGAAAUCUAGAAAAGGAAAGAAGAAAAAGACUCCAGUAGAAUUUUGGGCUCCAUCCUGGAUUCUGUGAUAACUCCUUGUGCAAGUCUAAGAUGGUAAAGGGCUCUAGGACAGUAAAAGAAGAGUUACUGGCAGAGGAGAACAAGAGCCAGGACUCUCAAAGGAAGCCCUCUCUAAAAAUCCCAUCAGCAGGAUUAAAGUAGCAUACUGGAAGUUGGCUGUGGAGCAGGCAAAGCAGCACAAGCAUGGCUGGAAGAAGGGCUUGGAUCCAGGCUUGGAGGCAGUGUACAGGGGCUAACAAUAGAGUACAAGGUUGGGUAGCCCUUGAACAGGAAGUUUUAUGAUGUGGUUCAAUGAAGCAGAGAAAAAGACUGGGUAGAACAAUCUUCAACCUGAUGGGAAAUGGAGUCAAUGCAAGAUUAAGUGAUUUGACGUCACCAGGGUCAUCCAGGCAACCUGUGGCAGCUAUUGGCAUUGAAUUGCUGCCUCCUGACUGCCAAGCUUAAUGGCAGAACCAUUUUUCUUUCCAUGAUACCUUCGCUCUUCUUACUCUUUCACAUUUUGAUCUGGUAAGUGGAUGUCACAGGGUGGCAGAAUGCCUGCUUUAUCAAGCACUUUUCAUGAAGAACAUGUGUCGAAGCUAGAGUACUUCCUGUCCUUUCCCCUUCAAUGAAGCCUCAUCUACCUACCUCCCACACAGCUGUUCUAGAAGACACAGUUUAGCACCAAAUGGCCCCCUCAUUUCCUCACCCCACCAUUUUGCUAGACACAUAAGUUUUCCUUUCUAUGGUAGCAGCACUAACGUUCACACUAUAUCCAUUGCUAGGCAGAUGUUAGGAUUUUAAGGAAGAGUUCCUCUGCACAACAAUUAACUUUCUAGUUUGCCUUUAUAAAGCACAGAGAACAGGUCACCUCCAUGACAGUACUUAAUUGGUACACAGAAUAAUCUUUGGCUAUUUUCUCAAGAAGCAGAAGGAAGUGGUAAAUCCUGCUGGAGACCAAAAAAAGCUAGGCUGUGUUUGAUGUG
rnacentral:lncRNA from 1 species